rnacentral:rRNA from 1 species
GGAUUAGAUACCCCACUAUGCCUAGCCAUAAACUUUGACUAUUUACGCAAAAAUCCGCCAGGGAACUACGAGCCUAAGCUUAAAACCCAAAGGACUUGGCGGUGCUCCAAACCCACCUAGAGGAGCCUGUUCUAUAAUCGAUACCCCUCGCUAAACCUCACCACUUCUUGCCAAACCCGCCUAUAUACCACCGUCGCCAGCCCACCUCGUGAGAGACUCCUAGUAGGCUUAAUGAUCAAGCAUCAAUACGUCAGGUCAAGGUGUAGCAUAUGAAGUGGAAAGAAAUGGGCUACAUUUUCUAUUCCUUAGAAUAAACGAAAGAUCUUUAUGAAAUCAGAUCGGAAGGCGGAUUUAGCAGUAAAGAGAAACAAGAGAGUUCUCUUUAAAAUGGCCCUGGAGCGCGCACACACCGCCCGUCACCCUCUUCUACAAAUUAUAUAAUUUAAAUAAACACAUAACAAAUACUAAGAAGAGGCAAGUCGUAACAUGGUAAGCACACCGGAAGGUGUGCUUGGAACC